CUCUUCACUGUUAAUUUAUGAUUUGCAUGUCUUUCUCACAAAAAAGUUUUUAGUUCUGUGUCUAAGCCCCGGCUUUAAGUUUGCAGUCCGAUUCUGCUCUCUCUCUCAUCAAUCUCAAUAUUGAGCCGGCUUAUAUCCAUUUAUUAUACUUGCUCUAAGAUUUCAGUAAUUGAGAGAGCAUAUAGAGCAGGCAAUUGUUACUACAC
rnacentral:lncRNA from 1 species